AGUCGUAACAAGGUCUCCGUUGGUGAACCAGCGGAGGGAUCAUUACAGAGUUACUACUCCAAAACCCAUUGUGAACCUUACCUAUGUUCUGUUGCCUCGGCGGCGUGGUCAGCGCCCCCUCUGAAAAGAGGACGAUGCCCUCCCGCCGGCAGCACCAAACUCUUGAAUUUUACAGCGGAUUACAGUUCUGAUUUGAAAAGAAAAAACAAGUUAAAACUUUCAACAACGGAUCUCUUGGUUCUGGCAUCGAUGAAGAACGCAGCGAAAUGCGAUAAGUAAUGUGAAUUGCAGAAUUCAGUGAAUCAUCGAAUCUUUGAACGCACAUUGCGCCCGGCAGUAAUCUGCCGGGCAUGCCUGUCCGAGCGUCAUUUCAACCCUCGAACCUCCGUUUCCUCAGGGAAGCUCAGGGUCGGUGUUGGGGCGCUACGGCGAGUCUUCGCGACCCUCCGUAGGCCCUGAAAUACAGUGGCGGUCCCGCCGCGGUUGCCUUCUGCGUAGUAAGUCUCUUUUGCAAGCUCGCAUUGGGUCCCGGCGGAGGCCUGCCGUCAAACCACCUAUAACUCCAGAUGGUUUGACCUCGGAUCAGGUAGGGUUACCCGCUGAACUUAAGCAUAUCAAUAAGCGGAGGAA
rnacentral:misc_RNA from 1 species